UACGUAGGGGGCUAGCGUUGUCCGGAAUCAUUGGGCGUAAAGCGCGUGUAGGCGGCCCGGUAAGUCCGCUGUGAAAGUCGGGGGCUCAACCGUCGGAUGCCGGUGGAUACUGUCGGGCUUGAGUACGGAAGAGGCGAGUGGAAUUCAUGGUGUAGCAGUGAAAUGCGUAGAGAUCAUGAGGAAGACCAGUGGCGAAGGCGGGUCUCUGGACAGUUCCUGACACUGAGACACGAAGGCCAGGGGAGCAAACGGG
rnacentral:rRNA from 1 species